ACUGACUGCUCCGAAAAGCCAUCUUUACAUUGUUCCCGGGUCAUGCUCCAUGCUUACUGCAGCCAACUUACUUCGCCUCCCACUGCCUCCUCCAAGGAAGACUCUGGACUUCUGCAGCUUUCUCAGUAGAGUCUUUGAACUCGACUAAUUCCUCACUCGCUGCAUCAGAGCACUGGCGUGCCCCACCACAUCAAACAUGGCAGUGGACCCCAGCUCUGAGAUCACCACCAAGGACUUGAAGGAGAAGAAGGAAGUUGUCCAGGGGUCAGAAGAGAUACACCUGCCAAUGGGAAUGCUCAAAAUGAGGAAAAUGGCGAGCAGGAGGCUGACAAUGAGGUAGAUAAGAAGUGGAAGAAGGUGGGGAGGAAGAGGAGGAAGGGGAGGAGGAGGAGGAAGAGGAGGAAGGUGACGGUGAGGAAGAGGAUGGAGAUGAAGCUGAGGAAGGUGAGACUCCUACAGGCAAGCAGGUAGCUGAGAAUGAUGAGGAUGACAAUGUUGACACCAAGAAGCAGUAGACUGAUGAGGAUGAGUAA
rnacentral:lncRNA from 1 species